rnacentral:lncRNA from 1 species
UUACAACUUUUGCACCUUUUACCGACGAAUACACAGAUUUGAAUGUCUCUUGUAGCAUAUAAUCCGUCACAUCAGCAGCCAAAUCACCAACAAAUAUUGUAUGCUCAGCUGAAUCAUCUCGCCUCUCACCAGCACCAAGAGAGGCCCAGUUCAUACGGAAAUUCUGUUCAACAUUUGGCAUCAAAGUGCCAUUAUACGUCUGUAAAAUAGUUUCUGCAGCUGCAUGACUCCUGAACUCAAGGAAUCCAUAACCUUCAGACUGACCAGUUUGCUUGUUCCUAAUGACCUUAGCGGAAACAAGCUGCACAAAACAAUGAAGCCUAUCAUCAUAAUGCAAAACAAAGAGCCAGUACAAUGAUACACUAAUGCAAAUAUUGAGCUUUAAUAUUGAUUCCCAACCCCUCCUCUUCUAGGCAAUCUUUAAAUACUUCAAUACAUCUUUUACUAAAUUCACCUGCAAUUUUCUUCUCCUUUUUUCUGGGAUGACGGUGGUGUCCAAGCCAACUUGCGUGCACCCCGGCUAUUCUACAGGAUACCAGGUAACUCUACCCACUAAAUCUUAGGUAAAUGAGAAGAAAUCACCUAGUAUUUUUUUUAUCCCACUGUGCUUUGAACCUAAGACCUCAUGGUUCUCCUACCAUUUUAAUGACAACUGGGACACACUCUUGGGUAAUUUUUGUUCUUUUUCUAAGUUACUAUGUUAGUUUCAAACCCCUCCUUUUAAAUCAAUCACCUAAGCCACUUAAAAUAAAUUGCAACUAAAUGCAAAAGAGAAAUUUAAAUGAUAAGGCAAUCUUUCAAAAUUCAAUCGACUCCACACAAAUGAAAACAGAUAACUACCAUCUCCUAAAAAAUAGCCUGGCAGAAAAAUGUGAGGAAUGCAUCACAAAUUUAAGAAAUUGUUUUGACAAGUCAGAAACAACGUCAGCAAACUAUAUCAGAAAUACGAAAUUUUUCUCCCCACGUCUACAAUCACCUAAGCAACCACGAUUUUCUAGCAUUUAUUUCCUUAAUUUAACAAUAUUUUUCCUAAAAACUGCAAACAAAUGGAAACAGGGUUAGAUUUGUAAAAUUACCUCGCCGGUAUGAUAGAAACAAGUAGAGAGAUAAUUCUCAUCCAUCCAAUACUGCAAAUCCCCAAUCCAAAGAGACCGAACCUCGUUAGGAUUACCGGUAGGGCUAGGGUUAGGGUUUGUCGUCGGCAUAGCACCGUACUGUUGUUGAGAUGGCUGCUGAGCCCAAGCAGGUUGAGAUUGAGGUUGAAACUGCGGUUGUUGUUGUG